rnacentral:rRNA from 1 species
AUACGGAGGGUGCAAACGUUGCUCGGAAUCAUUGGGCGUAAAGCGCACGUAGGCGGUUCGAUAAGUCGGAUGUGAAAGCCCUAGGCUUAACCAAGGAAGUGCAUUCGAAACUGCCGAACUUGAGUAUGGGAGAGGAUUGCGGAAUUCUCGGUGAAGAGGUGAAAUUCGUAGAUAUCGGGAGGAACACCAGUGGCGAAGGCGGCCAUCUGGAUCGGUUCUGACGCUGAGGCGCGAAAGCGUGGGGAGCAAACAGGAUUAGAAACCCCAGUAGUCC